rnacentral:rRNA from 1 species
CCUGGUUGAUCUUGCCAGUAGUCAUAUGCUUGUCUCACAGAUUAAGCCAUGCAAGUGAAAGUACAUAUGUAAAUAAUAUAUUGAAACUGCGAACGGCUCAUUAAAACAGUUAUAAUCUACUUGAUGUUUUUAAUAUAAGGAUAACUACGGAAAAUCUGUAGCUAAUACUUGUGAAAAUACCUUUUGAUAUAUACAUAUGUAUGUAUCAUUAAGGUAUGUAUUUGUUAGAUAUAAGAAUAAAAUAAAUAUAAUUGAAUUAUAACAAAGAAGAAACACAUAAAAUAUGUGUAUUAUCAAUCGAGUAUCUGACCUAUCAGCUUUUGAUGUUAGGGUAUUGACCUAACAUGGCUAUGACGGGUAACGGGGAAUUAGAGUUCGAUUCCGGAGAGGGAGCCUGAGAAAUAGCUACCACAUCUAAGGAAGGCAGCAGGCGCGUAAAUUACCCAAUUCUAAAAAAGAGAGGUAGUGACAAGAAAUAACAAUACAAUAUCGAAAAAUGAUUUUGUAAUUGGAAUGAUAGGAAUUUACAAGGUUCCUAGAGAAACAAUUGGAGGGCAAGUCUGGUGCCAGCAGCCGCGGUAAUUCCAGCUCCAAUAGCAUAUAUUAAAAUUGUUGCAGUUAAAACGUUCGUAGUUGAAUAUUAAAGAAUCCGAUGUUUCAUUUAAACUGGUUUGGGAAAACCAAAUAUAUUAUAUAUUUUGCUUUGUUCAAAAUAAGGUUUUCUAAUAAAUUAUGUUUUUAUCAGAUAUGACAGAAUCUUUUUUAAAAUCUCUUCAAUAUGCUUUUAUUGCUUUUGAGAGGUUUUGUUACUUUGAGUAAAAUUAAGUGUUCAUAACAGACGGGUAGUCAUGAUUGAGUUCAUUGUGUUUGAAUACUACAGCAUGGAAUAACAAAUAUGAAUAAGCUAAUUAUUUUUUUUUUUCAUUAUUUUUUUUGAUAUUCUUAUUAGCUUAGUUACGAUUAAUAGGAGUAGCUUUGGGGGCAUUCGUAUUCAGAUGUCAGAGGUGAAAUUCUAAGAUUUUCUGGAGACGGACUACUGCGAAAGCAUUUGCCUAAUCUAUUUCCAUUAAUCAAGAACGAAAGUUAAGGGAGUGAAGACGAUCAGAUACCGUCGUAAUCUUAACCAUAAACUAUACCGACUAGGUGUUGGAUGAAUAUAAAAAAUAUAUAAAUAUGUAGCAUUUCUUAGGGAAUGUUGAUUUUAUAUUAGAAUUGCUUCCUUCAGUACCUUAUGAGAAAUCAAAGUCUUUGGGUUCUGGGGCGAGUAUUCGCGCAAGCGAGAAAGUUAAAAGAAUUGACGGAAGGGCACCACCAGGCGUGGAGCUUGCGGCUUAAUUUGACUCAACACGGGAAAAACUCACUAGUUUAAGACAAGAGUAGGAUUGACAGAUUAAUAGCUCUUUCUUGAUUUCUUGGAUGGUGAUGCAUGGCCGUUUUUAGUUCGUGAAUAUGAUUUGUCUGGUUAAUUCCGAUAACGAACGAGAUCUUAACCUGCUAAUUAGCGGUAAGUACACUAUAUUUUUAUUUGAAAUUGAAUAUAGGUAAUUAUACAUGUUUAUUCAGUGUUCAAAUUAGGAUAUUUUUUUAUUAAAAUAUUCUUUUCCCUGUUCUACUAUAAUAAUUUGUUUUUUUACUCUAUUUCUCUCUUCUUUUAAGAAUGUACUUGUUUGAUUAAAUAAAGCUUCUUAGAGGAACAGUGUGUAUCUAACACAAGGAAGUUUAAGGCAACAACAGGUCUGUGAUGUCCUUAGAUAAACUAGGCUGCACGCGUGCUACAAUGAUAUAUAUAACAAGUUGUUAAAAAUGUACUUAUAAAUAAGUGUGUACAGUUUUUCCUGUACUGAAAAGUAUAGGUAAUCUUUAUCAGUAUAUAUCGUAAUUGGGAUAGAUUAUUGCAAUUAUUAAUCUUGAACGAGGAAUGCCUAGUAAGCAUGAUUCAUUAGAUUGUGCUGACUACGUCCCUGCCCUUUGUACACACCGCCCGUCGCUCCUACCGAUUGAAAGAUAUGAUGAAUUGUUUGGAUAUGAAUUAAAAUAAUGAAAUUUUAUAUUUCUGAUUUUUUCUAGAAGAACUGUAAAUCCUAUCUUUUAAAGGAAGGAGAAGUCGUAACAAGGUUUCCGUAGGUGAACCUGCGGAAG